AUGGGCGCAGCCUGACGCAGCGACGCCGCGUGAGGGAUGACGGCCUUCGGGUUGUAAACCUCUUUCACCCGGGACGAAGCUCACGUGACCGUACGGGCAAAAGACGCGCCGGCCAACUACCUGCCACCCGCCGCG
rnacentral:rRNA from 1 species